GAUGAACGCUGGCGGCGUGCCUAAUACAUGCAAGUCGAGCGAACGGACGAUAAGCUUUCUUCUCUGAUGUUAGCGGCGGACGGGUGAGUAACACGUGGAUAACCUACCUAUAAGACUGGGAUAACUUCGUGAAACCGGAUCUAAUACCGGAUAAUAUUUUGAACCGCAUGGUUCAAAAGUGAAAGACGGUCUUGCUGUCACUUAUAGAUGGAUCCGCGCUGCAUUAGCUAGUUGGUAAGGUAACGGCUUACCAAGGCAACGAUGCAUAGCCGACCUGAGAGGGUGAUCGGCCACACUGGAACUGAGACACGGUCCAGACUCCUACGGGAGGCAGCAGUAGGGAAUCUUGCGCAAUGGGCGAAAGCCUGACGGAGCAACGCCGCGUGAGUGAUGAAGGUCUUCGGAUCGUAAAACUCUGUUAUUAGGGAAGAACAUAUGUGUAAGUAACUGUGCACAUCUUGACGGUACCUAAUCAGAAAGCCACGGCUAACUACGUG
rnacentral:rRNA from 1 species